rnacentral:tRNA from 1 species
CUUGGAGUAGCUCAGUUGGAAGAGCCGUGGGCUGCACACCCGCGAGGCGCAGGUUCGAUCCCUGCCUCCAAGC